CGGGCGGCCGUGACCCUGCUGGAGUCCGGGGGGGACCUCCAGCCCCCCGGGGGGUCCCUGCGCCUCCUCUGCCGAGGACAAGGAUUCGACAUCGGGAGAUUUGAGAUGUUCUGGAUGCGCCAGAGACCCGGGAAGGCGCUGGAAUUCAUCGCGAGCAUCACCAGCGGUGGCAGCACGUACUACGCUCCAUCCGUGCGUGGCCGGUUCACCAUCAGCAGGGACAACGGGCAGAGCUCGGUGACGCUGAGCAUGAACAACCUCCAGGACGAGGAUUCCGGGGUUUAUUUCUGUGCCAAAUGUAUGGAUUCUAGUGAUGGUUACACUGUUUAUCUCCGGGCGGCCGUGACCCUGCUGGAGUCCGGGGGGGACCUCCAGCCCCCCGGGGGGUCCCUGCGCCUCCUCUGCCGCGCCUCUGGAUUUGAUUUCACACAAUUUGGGCUGGGCUGGUAUCGCCAACGGCCCGGAAAGGCGCUGGAAUUCCUUGCACAGAUCAGCAGCGGUGGCACCCCGUACUACGCGCCAUCCGUGCGGGGCCGGUUCACCAUCAGCAGGGACAACGGGCAGAGCUCGGUGACGCUGAGCAUGAACAACCUCCAGGACGAGGAUUCCGGGGUUUAUUUCUGUGCCAAAGCCUCCUGUGUCGGUUGUGUUCCUGCUGCUGGUUAUGCUCAGCCCUGA